CGGGUUCUGCUCUUCGCGUCAUACGGUAGCAUUCCAGUGGCCUUAAGCAAUUCCGAGGGAGCUGGCUCUGUUCUGGUCCUGGCCUGAUUACCUGGCGCCCACCUGUACAACAGGUCCUCGGGAAUGAGAUUACCAGACGGUCGCUGCGGGCCCGCC
rnacentral:misc_RNA from 1 species